AGCUUUGCACAGUGGCAGUAUCAUAGCCAAUGAGGUUUAUUUGAGGUGCAAUUAUUGCUAAUUGAAAAUUUUUUCAAUAUCCCACCAUGACGACUGGAAAUAUAGUCGGCAUUGGCAAUUUUUGGAAGUCUCUACAGGGA
rnacentral:snRNA from 1 species